UACGUAGGGAGCAAGCGUUGUUCGGAUUUACUGGGCGUAAAGGGCGCGUAGGCGGCAAAUUAAGUCAGCUGUGAAAUCUCCGAGCUUAACUCGGAACUGUCAGCUGAUACUGAUCUGCUAGAGUGCGGAAGGGGCAAUCGGAAUUCUUGGUGUAGCGGUGAAAUGCGUAGAUAUCGGGAAGAACACCCGUGGCGAAGGCGGCUCUCUGGGACGGUACUGACGCUGAGACGCGAAAGCGUGGGGAGCGAACAGG
rnacentral:rRNA from 1 species